AUGAAGCUGGAAUCGCUAGUAAUCGCAGAUCAGAAUGCUGCGGUGAAUACGUUCCCGGGUCUUGUACACACCGCCCGUCACACCAUGGAGUUGGAAAUGCCCGAAGCCAGUGACCCAACCGUAAGGAGGGAGCUGUCGAAGGUGGAGCCGAUGACUGGGGUGAAGUCGUAACAAGGUACC
rnacentral:rRNA from 1 species